GAUGAACGCUAGCGGCAGGCCUAACACAUGCAAGUCGAGGGGUAUAAAAGAGCUUGCUUUUUAGAGACCGGCAAACGGUGCGGAACACGUACGCAAUCUGCCCUUAUCACGGGGAUAGCCCAGAGAAAUUUGGAUUAAUACCCGAUAGUAUUAUAAUAAGGCAUCUUGUUGUAAUUAAAGCUAUGGCGGAUAAGGAUGAGCGUGCGCAAGAUUAGCUAGUUGGUGAGGUAACGGCUCACCAAGGCGACGAUCUUUAGCUGAUGUGAGAGCAUGAUCAGCCACACGGGCACUGAGACACGGGCCCGACUCCUACGGGAGGCAGCAGUGAGGAAUAUUGGUCAAUGGACGGAAGUCUGACCAGCCACUGCCGCGUGAAGGA
rnacentral:rRNA from 1 species